GGUGGAGUUGGUGUGGAGGGGGUGGGUGUGGAGCUAGUAGGUGGAGUAGGUGUGGGAGAAUGGGUUGGAGUGCCUUGCCCAACCUGAGAUUCUGCUGUGGUCACUCCUGGGCUAACGUGCUCUUCAACUGCCUGUGCAUCGUUCUCAUGGCUGUAGCUGUUGGUGUUGUACUCUUAAUGUUAUUGGAAGACUCACCUCUAUUAGAUCUACCAGAAGAUGAAAAUGUGUUCACAAGGUUUAUCCCGCGUUUUUCAUACUAUGGCACACAAAAUGAGACAGGAAGAGUAUUUGCGAAAGAAAACCGGACAAAUGCAGUAUUGCGACAAAUUAGUUGAUAUUGACAGUGAACACGACCUGUUUUGGAAAAUAUAUUAUGUUUAAAUAAAUCUAUGUAUAUGGCGGUGUGAAUGAACGUGUUUAUUAAGAGAAAGAAUAUCGUUCAACAGGGAUAAUCUUAUGAAGUUUGUAAGAGAUGAAACGAAUUACUUUUGUGAAUCACGUAGUAUAGUGUUAACAGAAUGGCGACAUGUGCUGUGAAUAGUUUUAGUUUAACAUUAUAUUGUAACGUGUCUCAUACUUGUCUUUUAACAUUAUACAAACAGUUUUUACCACAAAGUU